AUUGAACGCUGGCGGCAGGCCUAACACAUGCAAGUCGAGCGGCUGAAGGGUGCUUGCUCCUGGAUUCAGCGGCGGACGGGCGAGUAAUGCCUAGGAAUAUGCCUGGUAGCGGGGGCUAACGUCCGGACACGGGCGCUAUUACCGCAUACGUCCUGAGGGCGAACGUGGGGGAUCUUCGGACCUUCCGCUCUCAGAUGAGCCUAGGUCGGAUUAGCUAGUUGGUGGGGUAAAGGCCUACCAAGGCGACGAUCCGUAACUGGUCUGCGAGGAUGAUCAGUCACACUGGAACUGGGACACGGGCCAGACUCCUACGGGAGGCAGCAGUGGGGAAUAAUUGGCAAAGGGCGAAAACCUGAUCCAACCAUGCCGCGGGUGUGGAGGAGGGCUUCGGAUUGUAAAGCACUUUAAGUUGGGAGGAAGAGCAGUAAGUUAAUACCUUGCUGUUUCUACGGUACCAACAGAAUAAGCACCGGCUAACUUCGUGC
rnacentral:rRNA from 1 species